UGGGGAAUAUUGGACAAUGGGCGCAAGCCUGAUCCAGCCAUGCCGCGUGAGUGAUGAAGGCCCUAGGGUUGUAAGCUCUUUCGCCAGGGACGAUAAUGACGGUACCUGGAUAAGAAGCCCCGGCUAACUUCGUGCCAGCAGCCGCGGUAAUACGAAGGGGGCUAGCGUUGUUCGGAAUCACUGGGCGUAAAGCGCACGUAGGCGGAUCUUUAAGUCAGGGGUGAAAUCCCGAGGCUCAACCUCGGAACUGCCUUUGAUACUGGAGGUCUCGAGUCCGGGAGAGGUGAGUGGAACUGCGAGUGUAGAGGUGAAAUUCGUAGAUAUUCGCAAGAACACCAGUGGCGAAGGCGGCUCACUGGCCCGGUACUGACGCUGAGGUGCGAAAGCGUGGGGAGCAAAACAGGAUUAGAUACCCUGGUAGUCCACGCCGUAAAACUAUGGAUGCUAGCCGUUGGGCAGCUUGCUGUUCAGUGGCGCAGCUAACGCUUUAAGCAUCCCGCCUGGGGAGUACGGUCGCAAGAUUAAAACUUAAAUGAAUUGACGGGGUCAUAGCUGUUUCCU
rnacentral:rRNA from 1 species